rnacentral:rRNA from 1 species
GACGAACGCUGGCGGCGUGCCUAAUACAUGCAAGUAGAACGCUGAAGAGAGGAGCUUGCUCUUCUUGGAUGAGUUGCGAACGGGUGAGUAACGCGUAGGUAACCUGCCUUGUAGCGGGGGAUAACUAUUGGAAACGAUAGCUAAUACCGCAUAACAAUGGAUGACACAUGUCAUUUAUUUGAAAGGGGCAAUUGCUCCACUACAAGAUGGACCUGCGUUGUAUUAGCUAGUAGGUGAGGUAAUGGCUCACCUAGGCGACGAUACAUAGCCGACCUGAGAGGGUGAUCGGCCAUACUGGGACUGAGACACGGCCCAGACUCCUACGGGAGGCAGCAGUAGGGAAUCUUCGGCAAUGGGGGCAACCCUGACCGAGCAACGCCGCGUGAGUGAAGAAGGUUUUCGGAUCGUAAAGCUCUGUUGUAAGUCAAGAACGGGUGUGAGAGUGGAAAGUUCACAGUGUGACGGUAGCUUACCAGAAAGGGACGGCUAACUACGUG